GUCUCUGGUCAUGCCACCCUGAACAAGCCCGAUCCCGUCCGAUCUCAGAAGCUAAGCAGGGUCGGGCCUGGUUAGUACUUGGAUGGGAGACCACCUAGGAAGACCAGGUGCUGUAGGCG
rnacentral:rRNA from 1 species